rnacentral:rRNA from 1 species
UGCGUAGGGUGCGAGCGUUAAUCGGAAUUACUGGGCGUAAAGCGUGCGCAGGCGGUUUUGUAAGUCAGAUGUGAAAUCCCCGGGCUUAACCUGGGAACUGCAUUUGGGACUGCAAGGCUUGAGUACGGCAGAGGGGGGUAGAAUUCCUGGUGUAGCAGUGAAAUGCGUAGAUAUCAGGAGGAACACCGGUGGCGAAAGCGGCGACCUGGCCCGAUACUGACGCUCGAUGGACGAAAGCGUGGGGAGCAAACAGG